rnacentral:rRNA from 1 species
AUUGAACGCUGGCGGCAGGCCUAACACAUGCAAGUCGAACGAGUGGCGGACGGGUGAGUAAUGUCUGGGAAACUGCCCGAUGGAGGGGGAUAACUACUGGAAACGGUAGCUAAUACCGCAUACCAUCGGAUGUGCCCAGAUGGGAUUAGCUAGUAGGGGGGGUAACGGCUCACCUAGGCGAAGAUCCCUAGCUGGUCGUAGAGGAUGACCAGCCACACUGGAAUUGAGACACGGUCCAGACGCCUACGGGAGGAAGCAGUGGGAAAUAUUGGACAAUGGGCGCAAGCCUGCUGCAGCCAUGCCGCGUGUAUGAAGAGGGCCUUCGGGUUGUAAAGUACGUUCAGCGAGGAGGCGUUACUCGCAGAAGAAGCACCGGCUAACUCCGUGCCAGCAGCCGCGGUAAUUC